rnacentral:rRNA from 1 species
UACAGAGGUCCCGAGCGUUGUUCGGAUUCAUUGGGCGUAAAGGGUGCGUAGGCGGUUUUUUAAGUUUGAUGUGAAAUCCCGGGGCUCAACCCUGGAAUUGCAUUGAAUACUGAAGAACUAGAGAUCUGGAGAGGAAACUGGAAUUUACGGUGUAGCGGUGAAAUGCGUAGAUAUCGUAAGGAAGACCAGUGGCGAAGGCGGGUCUCUGGACAGUUCCUGACGCUGAGGCACGAAGGUCAGGGGAGCAAACGGG